GAACGCUAGCUACAGGCUUAACACAUGCAAGUCGACCUUCAGCAUUUUAGUUUGCUUGCAAACUGAAGAUGGCGACCGGCGCACGGGUGAGUAACACGUAUCCAACCUGCCGAUAACUCCGGAAUAGCCUUUCGAAAGAAAGAUUAAUACCGGAUAGCAUACGAAUAUCGCAUGAUAUUUUUAUUAAAGAAUUUCGGUUAUCGAUGGGGAUGCGUUCCAUUAGUUUGUUGGCGGGGUAACGGCCCACCAAGACAACGAUGGAUAGGGGUUCUGAGAGGAAGGUCCCCCACAUUGGAACUGAGACACGGUCCAAACUCCUACGGGAGGCAGCAGUGAGGAAUAUUGGUCAAUGGGCGAGAGCCUGAACCAGCUAAGUAGCGUGAAGGAUGAAGGCUCUAUGGGUCGUAAACUUCUUUUAUAUGGGAAUAAAGUUUUCCACGUGUGGAAUUUUGUAUGUACCAUAUGAAUAAGGAUCGGCUAACUCCGUGCCAGCAGCCGCGGUAAUACGGAGGAUCCGAGCGUUAUCCGGAUUUAUUGGGUUUAAAGGGAGCGUAGGUGGAUUGUUAAGUCAGUUGUGAAAGUUUGCGGCUCAACCGUAAAAUUGCAGUUGAAACUGGCAGUCUUGAGUACAGUAGAGGUGGGCGGAAUUCGUGGUGUAGCGGUGAAAUGCUUAGAUAUCACGAAGAACUCCGAUUGCGAAGGCAGCUCACUAGACUGUCACUGACACUGAUGCUCGAAAGUGUGGGUAUCAAACAGGAUUAGAUACCCUGGUAGUCCACACAGUAAACGAUGAAUACUCGCUGUUUGCGAUAUACAGUAAGCGGCCAAGCGAAAGCAUUAAGUAUUCCACCUGGGGAGUACGCCGGCAACGGUGAAACUCAAAGGAAUUGACGGGGGCCCGCACAAGCGGAGGAACAUGUGGUUUAAUUCGAUGAUACGCGAGGAACCUUGCCCGGGCUUAAAUUGCAACAGAAUAUAUUGGAAACAGUAUAGCCGUAAGGCUGUUGUGAAGGUGCUGCAUGGUUGUCGUCAGCUCGUGCCGUGAGGUGUCGGCUUAAGUGCCAUAACGAGCGCAACCCUUAUCUUUAGUUACUAACAGGUGAUGCUGAGGACUCUAGAGAGACUGCCGUCGUAAGAUGUGAGGAAGGUGGGGAUGACGUCAAAUCAGCACGGCCCUUACGUCCGGGGCUACACACGUGUUACAAUGGGGGGUACAGAAGGCGGCUACCUGGUGACAGGAUGCUAAUCCCAAAAACCUCUCUCAGUUCGGAUCGAAGUCUGCAACCCGACUUCGUGAAGCUGGAUUCGCUAGUAAUCGCGCAUCAGCCAUGGCGCGGUGAAUACGUUCCCGGGCCUUGUACACACCGCCCGUCAAGCCAUGAAAGCCGGGGGUACCUGAAGUACGUAACCGCAAGGAGCGUCCUAGGGUAAAACUGGUAAUUGGGGC
rnacentral:rRNA from 1 species